AUUGAACGCUGGCGGCAUGCCUUACACAUGCAAGUCGAAUGGCAGCACGGGUGCUUGCACCUGGUGGCGAGUGGCGAACGGGUGAGUAAUACAUCGGAACAUGUCCUGUAGUGGGGGAUAGCCCGGCGAAAGCCGGAUUAAUACCGCAUACGAUCUACGGAUGAAAGCGGGGGACCUUCGGGCCUCGCGCUAUAGGGUUGGCCGAUAGCUGAUUAGCUAGUUGGUGGGGUAAAGGCCUACCAAGGCGACGAUCAGUAGCUGGUCUGAGAGGACGACCAGCCACACUGGGACUGAGACACGGCCCAGACUCCUACGGGAGGCAGCAGUGGGGAAUUUUGGACAAUGGGCGAAAGCCUGAUCCAGCAAUGCCGCGUGUGUGAAGAAGGCCUUCGGGUUGUAAAGCACUUUUGUCCGGAAAGAAAUCCUUGGCUCUAAUACAGUCGGGGGAUGACGGUACCGGAAGAAUAAGCACCGGCUAACUACGUG
rnacentral:rRNA from 1 species